GAAUUGCGAAAAGUAAUGUGAAUUGCAUAAUUCCGUGAAUCAUCAAAUCUUUGAACGCACCUUGCGCUAGCUGGAAUUCCGGCUAGCAUGCCUGUUUGAGUAUUAAAACGAAUCACCAUGGUUGAAAUUUCAACAAGGUGGAAAUGGGCCAAGUGACAACUAGCCUUAAAUUUAUUCCAAAGGGAAUCAAUAGAGCUAAAUUCACUAUUGUAUCCCUUGACCCCACACACUAAUCUCAAAUCAGGUCGGAUUACCCGCUGAACUUAA
rnacentral:misc_RNA from 1 species